rnacentral:rRNA from 1 species
AUGAACGCUAGCGACAGGCUUAACACAUGCAAGUCGAGGGGCAGCGGGGGUAGCGAUACCCGCCGGCGACCGGCGCACGGGUGAGUAACGCGUAUGCAACUUGCCUAUCAGAGGGGGAUAACCCGGCGAAAGUCGGACUAAUACCGCAUGAAGCAGGGAUCCCGCAUGGGAAUAUUUGCUAAAGAUUCAUCGCUGAUAGAUAGGCAUGCGUUCCAUUAGGCAGUUGGCGGGGUAACGGCCCACCAAACCGACGAUGGAUAGGGGUUCUGAGAGGAAGGUCCCCCACAUUGGUACUGAGACACGGACCAAACUCCUACGGGAGGCAGCAGUGAGGAAUAUUGGUCAAUGGCCGAGAGGCUGAACCAGCCAAGUCGCGUGAGGGAUGAAGGUUCUAUGGAUCGUAAACCUCUUUUAUAAGGGAAUAAAGUGCGGGACGUGUCCCGUUUUGUAUGUACCUUAUGAAUAAGGAUCGGCUAACUCCGUGCCAGCAGCCGCGGUAAUACGGAGGAUCCGAGCGUUAUCCGGAUUUAUUGGGUUUAAAGGGUGCGUAGGCGGCCUUUUAAGUCAGCGGUGAAGGUCUGUGGCUCAACCAUAGAAUUGCCGUUGAAACUGGGGGGCUUGAGUAUGUUUGAGGCAGGCGGAAUGCGUGGUGUAGCGGUGAAAUGCAUAGAUAUCACGCAGAACCCCGAUUGCGAAGGCAGCCUGCCAAGCCAUGACUGACGCUGAUGCACGAAAGCGUGGGGAUCAAACAGGAUUAGAUACCCUGGUAGUCCACGCAGUAAACGAUGAUCACUAGCUGUUUGCGAUACACUGUAAGCGGCACAGCGAAAGCGUUAAGUGAUCCACCUGGGGAGUACGCCGGCAACGGUGAAACUCAAAGGAAUUGACGGGGGCCCGCACAAGCGGAGGAACAUGUGGUUUAAUUCGAUGAUACGCGAGGAACCUUACCCGGGUUUGAACGCAUUCGGACCGAGGUGGAAACACCUUUUCUAGCAAUAGCCGUUUGCGAGGUGCUGCAUGGUUGUCGUCAGCUCGUGCCGUGAGGUGUCGGCUUAAGUGCCAUAACGAGCGCAACCCUUGCCACUAGUUACUAACAGGUGAUGCUGAGGACUCUGGUGGGACUGCCAGCGUAAGCUGCGAGGAAGGCGGGGAUGACGUCAAAUCAGCACGGCCCUUACAUCCGGGGCGACACACGUGUUACAAUGGCGUGGACAAAGGGAGGCCACCUGGCGACAGGGAGCGAAUCCCCAAACCACGUCUCAGUUCGGAUCGGAGUCUGCAACCCGACUCCGUGAAGCUGGAUUCGCUAGUAAUCGCGCAUCAGCCAUGGCGCGGUGAAUACGUUCCCGGGCCUUGUACACACCGCCCGUCAAGCCAUGGGAGCCGGGGGUACCUGAAGUCCGUAACCGCGAGGAUCGGCCUAGGGUAAAACUGGUGACUGGGGCU